UGUAAGGGCCAGUGCCAGUGCAACCAUUUAGGCAAACUGGGCGGCCACCUAGGGCGCCUAGUGGUUGGGGGCGCCUAAAAGCCCACUCAGGCGAGGAGGUGGAGUGGAGGCCCAGGAUAGACAGGAGGAGCACCAUGUGAUCCCACACCUGCGACAGGGAGCUGCCCUUGACCAUCCACUCCUCCAGAUAGGGGAAGAUCUGGACCCCUCAGCACUUGAGGGCCUUGCCAGCAAAUGGAAGGUCUCCUGCAGGGAGGUCUGUGCCUCACUGGACAGCCCAGACAGCAGGAGCUAUGAUGCCCUCCUCACGGACACCGCAGAGGCCAUAGACCUUGCAUCCUUUUCGAUGGCAUCCAACACUGCCUGCAGGGUAGCUCUGGCAGCUGCUGUACCCUCCUCCACCAGAGCCUUGAACUCCUUCCCAUCACACUCCUGGAGGGAGUCCUCAAAUUUGGGCUCACAAAUUGAAUUCAUACCACCCCAGGGGGCUUGAUGGUUUGCCAUCCUUAACUGGAAA